rnacentral:rRNA from 1 species
UACGUAGGUGACAAGCGUUAUCCGGAAUUACUGGGCGUAAAGCGCACGCAGGCGGCGCGGUAAGUCUGAUGUGAAAUCUCCCGGCUUAACUGGGAGGGGUCAUUGGAAACUGCCGAGCUUGAGGCGGUGAGAGGGGUGUAGAAUUCCCGGUGUAGUGGUGGAAUGCGUAGAUAUCGGGAGGAAUACCAGUGGCGGAAAGCGAACACCCUGGCACUAGCCUGACGCUCAUGUGCGAAGGCGUGGGGAGCGGAACGGGG